UGAACGCUAGCGGCAGGCUAACACAUGCAAAUCGAGGGAGAAGCCUUCGGGCUGAAACCGGCGCACGGGUGCGUAACGCGUAUACAAUCUGCCUUUCACAUAGGGCAUAGCCCGAAGAAAUUUGGAUUAAUACCUAAUGGUAUAUAGGAGCGGCAUCGUUUUUAUAUUAAAGCUACGGUGGUGAAAGAUGAGUAUGCGUUCUAUUAGCUAGUUGGAGAGGUAACGGCUCCCCAAGGCGACGAUAGAUAGGGGUUCUGAGAGGGAUGUCCCCCACACUGGUACUGAGAUACGGACCAGACUCCUACGGGAGGCAGCAGUGAGGAAUAUUGGACAAUGGUCGGAAGACUGAUCCAGCCAUGCCGCGUGCAGGAUGAAGGUCCUAUGGAUUGUAAACUGCUUUUGUAAGGGAAGAAUAAGGGGUACGUGUACUUUGAUGACGGUACCUUACGAAUAAGCAUCGGCUAACUCCGUGCCAGCAGCCGCGGUAAUACGGAGGAUGCGAGCGUUAUCCGGAAUCAUUGGGUUUAAAGGGUCCGUAGGCGGGCUAAUAAGUCAGAGGUGAAAGCGUUCAGCUCAACUGAGCAACUGCCUUUGAAACUGUUAGUCUUGAAUGAUUGUGAAGUAGUUGGAAUGUGUAGUGUAGCGGUGAAAUGCCUAGAUAUUACACAGAACACCGAUAGCGAAGGCAUAUUACUAACAAUUUAUUGACGCUGAUGGACGAAAGCGUGGGGAGCGAACAGGAUUAGAUACCCUGGUAGUCCACGCUGUAAACGAUGGAUACUAGCUGUUUGGAGCAAUCUGAGUGGUAAGCGAAAGUGAUAAGUAUCCCACCU
rnacentral:rRNA from 1 species